GAUGAACGCUGGCGGCGUGCCUAACACAUGCAAGUCGAGCGAAGAUAGAGACGAGUAUUCGUACAAAUUUUUAUCUUAGCGGCGAACGGGUGAGUAACACGUGAGUAACCUGCCUUUCACUGGGGAAUAACAUCGAGAAAUCGGUGCUAAUACCGCAUAAUGUCACGAGACCGCAUGGUUUUGUGACCAAAGGAGUAAUCCGGUGAUAGAUGGACUCGCGCCCGAUUAGAUAGUUGGUGAGGUAACGGCCCACCAAGUCUACGAUCGGUAGCCGAACUGAGAGGUUGAUCGGCCACAUUGGGACUGAGACACGGCCCAGACUCCUACGGGAGGCAGCAGUGGGGAAUAUUGGGCAAUGGGCGAAAGCCUGACCCAGCAACGCCGCGUGAAGGAAGAAGGUCUUCGGAUUGUAAACUUCUUUGAUCAGGGACGAAUAAAUGACGGUACCUGAAGAACAAGCCACGGCUAACUACGUG
rnacentral:rRNA from 1 species